rnacentral:rRNA from 1 species
AUUGAACGCUGGCGGCAGGCCUAACACAUGCAAGUCGAGCGAGCGGCGGACGGGUGAGCAAAGUCUGGGAAACUGCCUGAUGGAGGGGGAUAACUACUGGAAACGGUAGCUAAUACCGCAUACCAUCAGAUGUGCCCAGGUGGGAUUAGCGAGUAGGUGGGGUAACGGCCCACCUAGGCGACGAUCCCUAGCUGGUCUGAGAGGGUGACCAUCCACACUGGAACUGAGACACGGUCCAGACUCCUACGGGAGGCAGCAGUGGGGAAUAUUGCACAAGGGGCGCAAGCCUGAUGCAGCCAUGCCGCGUGUGUGAAGAAGGCCUUCGGGUUGUAAAGCACUUUCAGCGGGGAGGCGUUACCCGCAGAAGAAGCACCGGCUAACUCCGUGCCAGCAGCCGCGGUAAUAC